UACGUAGGGGGCAAGCGUUGUCCGGAAUCAUUGGGCGUAAAGAGCGCGUAGGCGGUCCGGUAAGUCCGCUCUGAAAGUCCGGGGCUCAACCCCGGGAGGCGGGCGGAUACUGCCGGGCUAGAGUCCGGAAGAGGCGAGUGGAAUUCCUGGUGUAGCGGUGAAAUGCGCAGAUAUCAGGAAGAACACCCGUGGCGAAGGCGGCUCUCUGGGCAAGUACUGACGCUGAGACGCGAAAGCGUGGGUAGCAAACAGG
rnacentral:rRNA from 1 species